rnacentral:lncRNA from 1 species
AUUAAUUAUGUUGAGUAUGUGUGAUGGUAUACAUGAUGAUGUAAAUGUAUACAUGUGUGAAUAGACUGUAUUAUGGCUUAGAGUGUGAGCAUGUGUCUAUUCUUGAUUAUUUGUUGAUGUUGCAUUGCUAGGUGAUUAGCAUGCAUAUUGUGGCCCAUUUGGGGUGGUAGCUAAUUCCCAUGGUGAGGAAUUAGUGAGUAAAUCAUGUCGAUUGUUG